UACGGAGGGUGCAAGCGUUAUCCGGAUUCACUGGGUUUAAAGGGUGCGUAGGUGGGCAGGUAAGUCAGUGGUGAAAUCCCCGAGCUUAACUUGGGAACUGCCAUUGAUACUAUUUGUCUUGAAUACUGUGGAGGUUAGCGGAAUAUGUCAUGUAGCGGUGAAAUGCCUAGAUAUGACAUAGAACAUCAAUUGCGAAGGCAGCUGGCUACACAAAUAUUGACACUGAUGCACGAAAGCGUGGGGAUCAAACAGG
rnacentral:rRNA from 1 species